UCUGGUCAUCCAGGAAAAAUACCAGGACCAUAACAAUUUCCUUGUGAAGAAAGAGCACUGGUUUUGAAGUCAGAAGGUGCAGAGAGCAGUCUUUUACUUGGUUGGGAGAGUGAGCUACAGGAAUCUGGGAACUGGAAUCCAGGCUUGGUUUUGUAGCCAACAUAAUAACAUCGAUGCCUAAGGAUCAUGGAGUGGCCUCUGGGAUAUAUUUUCUGGACCUCUACCAAUGAAAGUUGAAGCAAGCUCUUAUAUAAUAGCAAUGCCAUCAUUGAUGUGAACUUGUUGGGACUCUUGCUAUGUAAGAACUGAGCUAAGUUUUGAACCUAUCCACCAGAGACU
rnacentral:lncRNA from 1 species